AGAAUACUCACCUCACUUUGUGCUCCAUUGACUCAAAGUUCCAAUAGAACCCCAGAUGACUUUGUGUGUGUUCCCAGCAAUCCACCUUGGGUCCUCUUUUCUCCUCCCUCCACAUCCUCUCCCUGGGGAAUUUCAUCAUCAUCUGCUGUGGCCUCAGCCACCAUCUCUAUGGGUGUGACUCUCACAUAUGUUCAUCUCAACCCAACCUUGGACUGAGCCCUUGACCCUCGUCCACCCUUCCUGGAUAUCUCCGUGUGCAAGUCCCACAGGCAUCUGUAAGCCAAUAGGUCCUGAACUGGAUUCAGACCCUCCUCUUCUCCAAAUCUGCUCACCCUCCUGCAGUCUUGGUAUUGAUGAGGGAAAUCUGACACAGCUAGAAAGCAAUGGAAAACACUAAGGGUUGCAUCAGAUGUUGAAGAGGAACUGAUCAUACCAUGGAGAUAAAAAUGAUCUCUGUAAGGAGGAUUUUAAAAAUCUGGUUAUUUAAAGGUAGCAGCCUUUUUGAGGAAAACUAACAAGGGUUCCAGAGGCCAAUUCACCCUUGCUAGCAACGUGGGCCCCAUGUUAGAAGGAGGAAUGGAUGUGUCUUGAUGCUGUUCCUCUUCCACUCAGCGUAGACUUGCAAGAGUGGGCUGCAAAUAAAUUUUCAUUCCUUUUCCUGGUUUUUCCCUGU
rnacentral:lncRNA from 1 species